rnacentral:lncRNA from 1 species
UUUCUCUCUCCUUUUAUUUUUUGAGUUGCAGAUAGAUUAUGCAAAUAGUUGUAAAUAGAUUAUGCAAAUUUUUUGAGUGAUUUGUUUGAUGAGUAAAUUUUUUUGCAUAUAGUUACAAGUUUACAACCAUAUUUACUGAAAUGAAUAAAUAUGUAAAAUAUAUGCAUUAAGGUGCGAGAACAUUUAAAUGAAAGGUGGAUUUAUACCCAUUAUGAACAAAUCCCUUACAAAUAUUUCCCUUUGCUAAUACAUCAUAGUAAUCUAUUACUUCAUUGGUUACAUUAAUAGUUUAAUUUCUAGCAAAUUAAUUGAUCUUCAUGAACUAAUCUUCUAUUAAAUACUAACUUUUA